UACGGGGGGGGCAAGCGUUGUUCGGAAUUACUGGGCGUAAAGGGCGCGUAGGCGGUCAGAUAAGUCAGCUGUGAAAACCUCGGGCUUAACCCGAGGCCUGCAGUUGAAACUGUUUGGCUGGAGUGUGGGAGAGGAGAGUGGAAUUCCCGGUGUAGCGGUGAAAUGCGUAGAUAUCGGGAAGAACACCCGUGGCGAAGGCGGCUCUCUGGGACGGUACUGACGCUGAGACGCGAAAGCGUGGGGAGCGAACAGG
rnacentral:rRNA from 1 species